rnacentral:rRNA from 1 species
UACGAGAACCCCAAGCGUUAUCCGGAAUCAUUGGGCGUAAAGGGUGUGUAGGUGGUCGCGUUAGUCUUCUGUCAAAACCUCGGGCUCAACCCGAGUCUUGCGGAGGAAACGGCGCGACUCGAGGAUGCGAGAGGUGAAUGGAACUCAUGGAGUAGGGGUAAUAUCCGUUGAUAUCAUGGGGAACACCAAAAGCGAAGGCAAUUCACUGGC